GCAUUUGGGUUACAAGGCCUAUAGUGCCAACUCUGCUGAUGACGUAACCAAGCCAUUUGUUUCCAUGUAUUUUGGCACUGCCUAUCUCUGGCCUGGUUAUCACACUACAAAGGAAAGCAAAGGUCAUCCCAAUUUGUUUUUCAGGCUUAUCUCGUUGGGCCGAAGAAGGUAAAUCUUCAAGAUAUGAGUCCUGUUUGGACUAAAUUUGAGGAAGCUUGGCAUUGAUACGAUCUCUUAGCAAGGAAGAAACAAGGUAGCAGCUGCACAACUUGCACCAUUUUAUAAGCUAAGAGUAGCCGCUAUCGCCUAUAUGCAAGCUCAAAUUUUUCAGCUGAAGUGAAAUGAUUGGAAGCUUUGACACAAAUGACAAGCAAAAGGAAGAAUGUUUGGAUCCAGAGAUGUAAAUCAUGUAAUUAUUGUUUCAGCUUGCCCAUUCGGUAAUCUCUUUUAAUAGUCGAUCUGGAU